rnacentral:rRNA from 1 species
GGGUGCAAUGAUACCAAUGUUAAUGCAUUGGAUCCCAUCGGAACUAUGCAGUUAAGAGGGCUUGGGCUAGAGUAUUACUGGGAAGUCCUAGUGUUGCACCCU